rnacentral:rRNA from 1 species
AUUGAACGCUGGCGGAAUGCUUUACACAUGCAAGUCGAACGGCAGCACGGACUUCGGUCUGGUGGCGAGUGGCGAACGGGUGAGUAAUGUAUCGGAACGUGCCCAGUCGUGGGGGAUAACGUAGUGAAAAUUACGCUAAUACCGCAUACGAUCUAUGGAUGAAAGCGGGGGAUCGCAAGACCUCGCGCGAUUGGAGCGGCCGAUAUCAGAUUAGGUAGUUGGUGGGGUAAAGGCCCACCAAGCCAACGAUCGGUAGCUGGUCUGAGAGGACGACAGCCACACUGGAACUGAGACACGGUCCAGACUCCUACGGGAGGCAGCAGUGGGGAAUUUUGGACGAUGGGCGAAAGCCUGAUCCAGCCAUUCCGCGUGCAGGAUGAAGGCCCUCGGGUUGUAAACUGCUUUUGUACAGAACGAAAAGGUUUCUACUAAUACUAGGAGCUCAUGACGGUACUGUAAGAAUAAGCACCGGCUAACUACGUGCCAGCCGCCGCCGUAA